AGGACGAGCGCUGGCGGCGUGCUUAACACAUGCAAGUCGAACGGUGAAGGAGAGCUUGCUCUCUGGAUCAGUGGCGAACGGGUGAGUAACACGUGAGUAACCUGCCCUUGACUCUGGGAUAAGCGUUGGAAACGACGUCUAAUACCGGAUACGAGCUUCAGUCGCAUGGCUAGGAGCUGGAAAGAUUUCGGACAAGGAUGGACUCGCGGCCUAUCAGCUAGUUGGUGAGGUAAUGGCUCGACCGAAGGCGACGGACGGUAGCCGGCCUGACGGAGGGU
rnacentral:rRNA from 1 species